AUUGAACGCUGGCGGCAGGCCUAACACAUGCAAGUCGAGCGAGUGGCGGACGGGUGAGUAAUGUCUGGGAAACUGCCUGAUGGAGGGGGAUAACUACUGGAAACGGUAGCAAAUACCGCAUACCAUCCGAUGGGCCAAGAGGGGAUUAUCUAGGAGGUGGGGUAAUGGCUCACCGAGGCGACGAUCCCUAGCAGGUCUGAGAGGAUGACCGGCCCCACUGGGACUUAGCCACGGUCCAGACUCCUACGGGAGGCAGCAUUGGGGAAUCUUGCACAAUGGGCGCAAGCCUGCUGCAGCCAUGCCGCGUGGUUGAAGAAGGCUUUCGGUUUGUAAAGCACUUUCAUCGAAGAGGCGUUACUCGAAGAGGAAGCACCGGCUAACUCCGUGCCAGCAGCCGCGGUAAUAC
rnacentral:rRNA from 1 species